CAGCGCAGGCGCGACGGCAGCCCCGCCAAACACCGGCUCUUAUUUUCGGGCGGAGGAGACUCCGCCGUCCAUGCUCUGGCUGUGCCGUUGGGCUGUCGGAGCCGGGGUGGGCGCCGAGGCGGCGGCGGCGGCCAGACUCAUUUCUGGCGCGGGGAUGCCCAAGAAGGGAAAAGGCCAGAAUAAGGAGCCAGUGAAACCACUUCCUUCCACUGGACCUGUGGCAGUUGAUCAAAAUGGUUCCAUCACAAUAGCCAUUCAUGCCAAACCUGGCUCCAAACAAAAUGCCAUAACAGAUGUGACAACAGAAAAUGUAAGUGUAGCUAUUGCUGCACCUCCAUCAGAAGGAGAAGCUAAUGCAGAACUAUGUCGGUAUCUUUCCAAGGUCCUGGAACUUAGGAAGAGUGAUGUUAUCUUAGAUAAGGGUGGUAAAUCUCGUGAAAAAGUGGUAAAGAUUUUGGCAUCCAUAACUCCAGAAGAGAUUUUGGAAAAAUUGAAAAGGCAAGCAAAAGUCCCCUGAAACAAAGAAGCAAAACCCAGAAAUGAACUUUAUAUUUAGUUGAGCUUUCUUUUAAAUCUUAAAAAUUUGUAAGGAGAAGAAUCUAGAUAAUGCUUGGAUUACAGUGCUUUGAAGAAAAACAGUCUGUGAAAAUAUUCUUCAUGGAAUGUUGAAAAAGUCAAAAUAUCACACAAAUGGUUAAGAACAAAUCAAACCUGCAGUUCCUUUGGGGCUUUUUGGAACCAACAGCUUCCUGCUCUAUAAAAAUUGGUGAUCUCUCCAGGGUCCCACUUAGCUCUGAUAUUCCAUGAGACUAUGAACCUCUUCUCAGUUUAAAAGUAUUUGAUUAAUAAUAUCUUAGAUUUCGCAGUAUAUAGUAUUUCACAGUUUUCAAAUACAAAUUUCAAAUGACAUAUGUAGUCAUAUGUAACAUGAUUGAUACAGAUUUUUUACAAUAACCCCUCAAGACAGGAACCAUUACCAUUUUAUUUAAUUUAAAUUGACUUUUUAAACUUUUUUUUUUUUAAUUUUGAUUUCCAAAUUCUCUUACCAUUCUCCCACCAUUGAGAAAGCAAGCAAUAUAUCUGUUAUAAGUCAAAUCAUGCAAAACAUUUCUGUAUUAGCCAUAUUGCAAAAAAGAAAAAGCAAAUAAGAAAAGUAUGCUUUAAAUCUGCACUUGGAGUUUAUUCACUUUUCAUCAUGAGUUCUUUGAAAUCAUCAUGGAUCAUUGAUCAGAGUAGCUAAGUCUUUUGCAGUUGAUUAUCAUUAAAAUAUUGCUGUUAACUGUG